CACAAGCGGUGGAGCAUGUGGUUAAUUCGAAGCAACGCGAAGAACCUUACCAGGUCUUGACAUCCCUGACAACCGAGAGAUCGGCGUCCCCUCGGGGGACAGGGUGACAGGUGGUGCAUGGUUGUCGUCAGCUCGUGUCGUGAGAUGUUGGGUUAAGUCCCGCAACGAGCGCAACCCUCGACCUUAGUUGCCAGCAUUCAGUUGGGCACUCUAAGGUGACUGCCGGCUAAAAAGUCGGAGGAAGGUGGGGAUGACGUCAAAUCAUCAUGCCCCUUAUGACCUGGGCUACACACGUGCUACAAUGGGCGGUACAAAGAGAUGCAAUCUCGCAAGAGCAAGCAAACCUCAAAAAGCCAUCCUCAGUUCGGAUUGGAGUCUGCAACUCGACUCCAUGAAGUUGGAAUCGCUAGUAAUCGCGGAUCAGCACGCCGCGGUGAAUACGUUCCCGGGCCUU
rnacentral:rRNA from 1 species